rnacentral:rRNA from 1 species
CAAGUCGAACGGGAUUAAGGGGCUUGCCUCUUAAUUUAGUGGCGCACGGGUGAGUAACGCGUGGAUAACCUGCCCUGGUAUCCGGGAUAACAUCUCGAAAGGGGUGCUAAUACGGGAUAAGCCCACGGGGUCUUCGGACCUUGCGGGAAAAGGUGGCCUCUGAAUAUGCUGCCGUAUCAGGAUGGGUCCGCGUACCAUUAGCUAGUUGGUAGUGUAAUGGACUACCAAGGCUACGAUGGUUAGCUGGUCUGAGAGGAUGAUCAGCCACACUGGAACUGAGACACGGUCCAGACUCCUACGGGAGGCAGCAGUGGGGAAUUUUGCGCAAUGGGGGAAACCCUGACGCAGCAACGCCGCGUGAGUGAUGAAGGCCUUCGGGUCGUAAAGCUCUGUCAGAGGGAAAGAAGUGUAGCAUGGUUAAUACCCAUACUACUUGACGGUACCCUCAAAGGAAGCACCGGCUAACUCCGUGCCAGCAGCCGCGG